GGGGAUUUAGCUCAGUGAUAGAGCGCUUGCCUAGCAAGCACAAGACCCUGGGUUCGGUCCCCAGCCCCU
rnacentral:tRNA from 1 species